rnacentral:rRNA from 1 species
UGGGAAUUUUGGACAAUGGGCGAAAGCCUGAUCCAGCAAUGCCGCGUGUGUGAAGAAGGCCUUCGGGUUGUAAAGCACUUUUGUCCGGAAAGAAAUCCUUGGCUCUAAUACAGUCGGGGGAUGACGGUACCGGAAGAAUAAGCACCGGCUAACUACGUGCCAGCAGCCGCGGUAAUACGUAGGGUGCAAGCGUUAAUCGGAAUUACUGGGCGUAAAGCGUGCGCAGGCGGUUUGCUAAGACCGAUGUGAAAUCCCCGGGCUCAACCUGGGAACUGCAUUGGUGACUGGCAGGCUAGAGUAUGGCAGAGGGGGGUAGAAUUCCACGUGUAGCAGUGAAAUGCGUAGAGAUGUGGAGGAAUACCGAUGGCGAAGGCAGCCCCCUGGGCCAAUACUGACGCUCAUGCACGAAAAGCGUGGGGAGCAAAACAGGAUUAGAUACCCUGGUAGUCCACGCCCUAAACGAUGUCAACUAGUUGUUGGGGAUUCAUUUCCUUAGUAACGUAGCUAACGCGUGAAGUUGACCGCCUGGGGAGUACGGUCGCAAGAUUAAAACUC